CCUAUGGGGCGAAUGCAGGCUUUCACUGAAGCUUGGAGAGCGAGAGGGGCUUCAGGAACACAUCCGCAGCCUAGGCAGCCCUGCGGGAGUUCCCCGCAGGGCUCCCCAUGCUGUGGAUAGCAGCCUGCCGCCCGGCGCGAGGGGCACCCUGAAGCAGAGCGCCCCGCCCGCCGGGCAGACAUCCACAGCGUGUUGGAGCCCUGCGGGAGUUCCCCGCAGGGCUCCCCACACUGCGGAUAGCAGCCUGCCGCCUGGCGCGAAGGGCGCCCUGAAGCAGAGCGCCCCGCGCGCCGGACAGACAUCGGCCAGCCCCACAAGCUUGGGGGACAGCAAGGAGGUGCAGCGCCGCCAUCCCGCUGUUCCUCGACCUGGUUCGGUUUCCCC